rnacentral:rRNA from 1 species
UUUUCGUUCUAAAAGGAAAUGGGAGCUCCGGCUGGAGCGCUACAGCCCUCUCAUCUCCCCAGUUGGUAACUCCCCCACCGGUUGAUUUUCUAUCACUUCAUCUUCUCCACCAAAUAGUGCAGGAGUUUCACUUCGUCUUCUCCCCUUAAGUUUGUCUGUUCUUUCUGUGAUGGACAUCAUCUCUUCGCCUUCCUUUCCAUCCAGUGGAACAUGUGGUGCCUCUGUCCAAUCUUCCGCCCCAUCAUCUCCUCUGCCUCCCCUUCUCCACAAAUCCACCUGCCUCCCUUUCUUCUCUUCUUGCAUCCUUCCACAUGCUCAUCUGUGCUUCCGUCCGUCUGCACCUCGUGGGGUCGACGCCUCCCUGAUCGAGGUCCAUGCUUAAAGGCAUCGGUCUCAGUUGUGGAGUGAUGCUGGCCGUGGAGGCAUCCCAAAUCAGCAGCAACUGAUUAUUAGUCAAAAGAGAGGUGGUUAAAAUUGCUCCAACAUUCUUCUUCACGAUGACUGAUGGUAUCAUGUGGCUGGAAGAUAAAUCAACUUCGCCAGAUUCCGGGACAUGGUGAUGAUUAGGUCUCCCUUCAUCUCCAUCUUAUGCAUCACGUAGCCGUCUCUCUGAUGAACACCGUGCUACACCCGUCUAGGAUACGGCACAACAGAGACACAGGCGCAUACGUGUAGUAGGGACCCGUUGCAAGUUUUCUUUUCAGAUUAAGACCCUGCGUAAACCUUUUUUACUUUCUCUUGUUGAUACACAUCCAUCGGUUUGUUGCUAUAACCAAGGAGGAGGCUGGCGUUUGGGCAUCGACCGCGUCAGAAAUUUUUGCGCGUACCUGGACACUAGGGGCUUAGGGCAUUGUUCUGCCUGUUUUCAUAAAGACCGAAUACCUUAGGGAGUGUUCGGCGUCUCGAGUUAGGCCUUAUAUGCAUUAGCUCUGAAUCAUGUCUUUGGUCAAAUGUUGGGUUUGCCCGGCUCCUGUGUUUUGCU